GGAGAGAUGGCCGAGAGGAUUAAGGCGCACGCCUGGAAAGCGUGUUCACAAAAAAAAAGUGUCAAGGGUUCGAAUCCCUUUCUCUCCGCUA
rnacentral:tRNA from 1 species